rnacentral:rRNA from 1 species
CCUACGGGAGGCAGCAGUGGGGGAUAUUGCACAAUGGGGGAAACCCUGAUGCAGCGACGCCGCGUGUAGGAAGACGGUCCUCUGGAUUGUAAACUACUGUCCCCAGGGACGAAGAUGACGGUACCUGGGGAGGAAGCUCCUGCUAACUACGUGCCAGCAGCCGCGGUAAUACGUAGGGAGCGAGCGUUGUCCGGAAUUACUGGGGGUAAAGGGAGCGUAGGCGGGGAUGCAAGUUGGGUGUUAAAUCUACCGGCUCAACUGGUAGUCGCACUCAAAACUGCAGCUCUUGAGUGAAGUAGAGGCAGGCGGAAUUCCUGGUGUAGCGGUGAAAUGCGUAGAUAUUAGGAGGAACACCAGUGGCGAAGGCGGCCUGCUGGGCUUUUAAUGACGCGGAGGCUCGAAAGUGUGGGGAGCAAACAGGAUUAGAUACCCUAGUAGUC